rnacentral:tRNA from 1 species
GCCGCGGCGAUAGCUCAGUGGGUAAAGCGCCAAGCGAGAACAUGGCGAUUGCUUCGAGAGCUAUUAUCCGCGCGGGUUCGAAUCCCGCCUGUGGCA